AUUCUUUCAAACUACAGUGCAGAACUUCUCAAUGUGCGUCCCUAAUGGGAAGGGAAUGGUCUUCAGCUGGGAAAUGGAAGAAGAGCGAAUUAUGUCUGGCCGGACUGUGGGAAGAGGGACAUGUCCUGGCACCAAGACUUCAAGUUCUUCUUCAGAGUGUGACAUACAAGAGAUCAGGGUCGACAGCGAAGACUCAAGGUGACGAGGCAGGAAAGGACCGCUCAGACAUCAGGCUGAAACACACACAUGAUGAGAAGACUUUUCUUAAAACCACCGGGAUGUCAAACUUGUUCGGGGAGAAGUUCGGCCUGAUGAGCACGCCACUCUUGGGUGGGCCACGUGUGACAGGUCUCUACUCAAAUUGGUAUUUGGCCCCUUCGCUCGGCCCACGUGCUGAACAUGCUGUCUCUGUCCAAAAGCAAUGAAUACAGCUUCACUUUCCUGACUGAUUUUUGCAC
rnacentral:lncRNA from 1 species